rnacentral:rRNA from 1 species
UAAUACGAAGGUGGCGAGCGUUGUUCGGAUUCACUGGGCAUAAAGGGCGCGUAGGCGGUGCCGUAAGCGGCGUGUGAAAACCCACGGCUCAACCGUGGAAUUGCCCGCCGGACUGCGGCGCUAGAGUGCGGGAGGGGGGUGUGGAACUCCAGGUGGAGCGGUGAAAUGCGUAGAUAUCUGGAGGAACACCGGUGGCGAAAGCGACACCCUGGUCCGCAACUGACGCUGAGGCGCGAAAGCGUGGGUAGCAAACAGGAUUAGAUACCCUGGUAGUCCACGCCGUAAACGAUGAGCACUAGGUAGCCGUCGGAACCGACCGGGGGCUGCUGAAGGAAAUCCAUUAAGUGCUCCGCCUGGGGAGUAUGGUCGCAAGGCUG